rnacentral:rRNA from 1 species
AUGGUGUUGGACCAUGCUGGGAAGGCGGCGGCCCUGCUCACGUUCUACUCCGAGCUGUUGGGCAGGGCUCGACCUGCCGUGUGGCGCUUCGACUUGGAGGCUCUCUACCGCGACGCGCCGAGGGUGGAUGCGGCGGCCCUGGUCGCGCCGUUCUCGCCCAGCGAGAUUAAGGAGGCGGCGAACCUCCUCGACCGGACUAGCGCGCCCGGACCGGACGACCUUGGCCCCGCGUUCUACCAGGCCGCUUGGAGUGCGGUCGCGGGCGACCUACAGCGGCUCUUCGACGCGGUCCAUGACAGCACCGCUGACCUCGACGCCAUCAACCGUGCAUACAUUGCCCUGCUGCCCAAGGGUGUGGGCGUGCCGACGCCGGGCGCUUCCCGCCCUGUCUCCCUUCAGAAUGGGGACGUGAAAAUCCUCUGUCGUGGCCUCACCUCGAGGUUGCAGAAGCAGAUCGGGGGCAUCAUCGACGUCGACCAGUCUGGGUUCCUGGCGGGGAGGAGCAUCUCCGAGAACUUCGUGUAUGCCGCUGAGGUGAUCCAGUGCUGCCACAAACGGGGGGCGCCUGCCCUCGUGUUCAAGCUGGACUUCGCCAAGGCGUUCGAUUCGGUCAACUGGGGGGCGCUGCGCCGGAUUCUCAUGGCGCGCGGCUUUCCCCGGUGGUGCGCCUGGAUGGACCUGAUCUUCGAGUCCUCGCGGUCGGUGGUGCUGCUGAACGGCGUGCCCGGGCGGUGGUUCACGGUGCGCCGGGGGCUGCGGCAAGGUGACCCAUGCUCGCCCUACCUCUUCCUCAUCGUCGCCGACGUGCUGCAACAGAUGAUCUGUCAAGAUGGGGCCCUGUUCCACCCUCUCGUCGAUGGCAAGCCCCCCCUGGUGCUGCAAUAUGCCGAUGAUACGCUUGUCAUCCUCCGCGCGGACUCCGGCGCUGCUGCCCGCCUCCGCCGUAUCCUCGACGACUUUGCGGCGGCGAGGGGCUGGACAUCAACUUCGACAAAAGUACUCUGGUCCCCAUGCACGUGCCCGAGGAGGUGUUGGUGGAGACCGUUGGCGCCCUUGGCUGCGCCGUCCAAGGGUUUCCGCAAGCCUACCUUGGGCUCCCGUUGUCGUGGGAAAAGCUCUACUUCGCUGACUUCCUACCCAUGA